rnacentral:rRNA from 1 species
ACUCAAAUGAAUUGACGGGGGCCCGCACAAGCGGUGGAGCAUGUGGUUUAAUUCGAUGCAACGCGAAGAACCUUACCUACUCUUGACAUCCAGCGAAUCCUGUAGAGAUACAGGAGUGCCUUCGGGAACGCUGAGACAGGUGCUGCAUGGCUGUCGUCAGCUCGUGUUGUGAAAUGUUGGGUUAAGUCCCGCAACGAGCGCAACCCUUAUCCUUUGUUGCCAGCGGUUCGGCCGGGAACUCAAAGGAGACUGCCAGUGAUAAACUGGAGGAAGGUGGGGAUGACGUCAAGUCAUCAUGGCCCUUACGAGUAGGGCUACACACGUGCUACAAUGGCGUAUACAAAGAGAAGCGACCUCGCGAGAGAAAGCGGACCUCAUAAAGUACGUCGUAGUCCGGAUUGGAGUCUGCAACUCGACUCCAUGAAGUCGGAAUCGCUAGUAAUCGUGGAUCAGAAUGCCACGGUG